CGUUCCCAUACCGAACACGGAAGUUAAGCUCUCUAGCGCCGAUGGUAGUUGGGACCUUGUCCCUGUGAGAGUAGGACGUCGCCAAGC
rnacentral:rRNA from 9 species